AGUAACUGAAGAGUCCUAAAUAGGGCUAGAUGCGCGUCUUGGAU
rfam:Schistosoma haematobium scaffold87_36, whole genome shotgun sequence.